GACGGAGGGUGCAAGCGUUGCUCGGAAUCAUUGGGCGUAAAGGGUGCGUAGGCGGCUUUUUAAGUCUGACGUGAAAGCCCAAGGCUCAGCCUUGGAAGUGCGCCAGAAACUGAAAGGCUAGAGUGCCGGAGGGGAGAGUGGAAUUCCUGGUGUAGCGGUGAAAUGCGUAGAUAUCAGGAGGAAUACCGGUGGCGAAAGCGACUCUCUGGACGGGAACUGACGCUGAGGCACGAAAGCGUGGGGAGCAAACAGG
rnacentral:rRNA from 1 species